rnacentral:sRNA from 1 species
GCUGGACGUGGUGGCUCAUGCCUGUAAUCUCCGUGACUCAGAAGGCAGAGGCAGGAGGAUCACAAGUUCCAGGCCAGCUUCAGCAGUUAACAAGACCCUCAGCAACUUAGUGAGACCCUGUCUCAA